UAAAUAUCGGUGAGAACAAGAAUAUAUAGACAAGAUGCUCUGCAUGUUGUCACCCUCAAAGUCUCUACCAAGAAACAACAUCGUUGGAGGCUUUCUUUCUGUUUGCAACAUUGACUCAUGAAUGAGGAAUCUUAGUAGGUUAUAACUUUUAGCUAAUGGCUGCAAUUGAGUUACUUUAAUAGGUUCUUGUGCGUAUGUUAUCUGCUGUGUGAGUCUAGAGGCUUUUUUAGGCAACUGGAAUCACUUAGUCAAAAUUCUGUUGAUGGAGAUGGUCAAUUUCCUUGAAAAAAAAGGUACAUGUGUCUUACAUAUAUUGUGUUUUUGCAUUGGGGCACCCGUGUUUUCUACUAGGAAAACUGCAAAAAAUGCAAUUUUUUCGAAUAAUAUUUAAUCUGCUUGAUUUAAAAAAUGUCAGUUAAUGUGUGUUUUUAAUGUGAUUUGUGAUUCUAAUAUAUCAAUGGAUAUUACUCUAUGGUAUUAUGUCAGUAUGUUAUGAUUCUUUGGGGUUGGUUCCAGUUGUUGAUAAGAGACUUUUAUCUAACGUUAAAUAGUUACUGGAUUCUGAUUAUUAGUAGACAUUUGGGGUCACAUUGUGUCAAACGGUGUAUGUAUGUGUAUGUAUGUAUACAUAAUAUGCAAUGACAGAAUACCUAUACAAACAUUAUAAAUGACACUGCAACACAAAUAGCUCUAUAUCUUGAUGGUUAAGCGCCUACUAUUCAGAGUUUAGUCUAGAGUUCAAACCUUGGUCAUGAAUUGCGCUUUUUUUAAAAUUAAAAAAAAAAUGGUCAAAGUAAAAUUUUUAAUUUCUGCCAAAUUUAGGUUGUUUACAAACUAGCUCUAUUUGACUCUAGAGACUAGCUCUCAAAAAUAGCCUCUGAACAACAACUGAUAAAAUAACCUAGUGCACACCUCAGUCUUUUACCCGUCUGCUGAAACAUACAGGUUGUGAGAGAGAGGCUUGAACCAUAACUCCUUAUCAAGUGAGAUAAUACAAAGCAAUCAACUUACGAUUCAUUUCCAUAAUAAACUUCUUUUUCUUUUUUUAUUUGCAUAACUUAGACAAUUAAUUUGUUGAUAGUUGAUACUUGAUACAACCUUAAACAAGAUUAUUCAAGAAAACUUAAAUUGGAAUAUUAUUUUUUUUAAUCAGAUGUCCUCGAGGAACAACAAACUUAAAAUGUAUAUAGCAAUUUUGUUCAUUUGUUCAUUUCUUCGAAUGUUGACAUUACUUAUAGAACAUCCUACAUACUCCUUUGUAGGUAUUAUACUCUGUGGUAUAGUAUUAGGAGUGAAUGAUAUAGUACGAUUCCCCGUAUGUAUUGAUUCUUUAAAGUUGGCUUUGGUUGUUGAUCCAACGUUGAACAGUUAAACAUGUGCUUAGAACUUUGUUUUAAGGUGAGAAUGUGCUUAGAACUUAUAGGAUGAAAGUUUGCAGAGUCGGUGGUUGAUUUAUGAGCUUAUGGAUACUGCUGUUUUCCCACUAAUAUUUUUUCCUUUAUAAAGAGGUGUUAAAUAUAAUAACAAAAUGAAGGAGUUUUUUUUUUUGUCUUAUUGUGAAUAUGUUGCUGGGUUCCGACUUAUCAAAAAUAUGUUCUUAGGUUCUGACAUUGAGACGACUGAACUUCAGGUAAAGAUUAGUGAGGAGUUAACUAUGAAAAAGGUCUACAUUCAGUUCCUCUGGUUUUUGUCUUGAAAAUGAUUGACAAAAUCCAAGUUUACAUUAUUUACGUUUGGUAGUUUGCAUUUCAACUCUGCUAUUUAAUUUGUAAAUGGUAAUGAACACAAGGAUUCUUAAAAUUCCUCAUACUUUUAUUUAGUUGUUGGUUGUUGUGUGUUUCGUCUAUUUGUCGUGUCCAGCUACUCAUAAUUGGAAACUGGCGACUAAGGGUGCCAGCUGAGCUACAAGCUUAGUUUCUUUUUUAUUUUUUAAUUAGGGGAAUUUGCAGUACUUUAUAUCCACCAUUAGAUUGACCAUUUUAGUUAUUCAUCAGUUUACUUAACAAAAGAAAGAGUAGAUUUGGCGUUCCCCGUAAUAUAUGCUCCUACCAUUUUUAUGGCUUGCGACUUAGUUAUGGGCCUGUGUUUGGCAAACACCUGCAUUGCUUCUUGUGCAUCUAUUUGACCCGCCAACUUCGUGGAGUUUUUGAGGUUUGUAGCACUACUUUUUACGACAUGGUGAUUUAAUGGAGCAAUCAGAGAGGUAGUAACAUUCUUCUUUGUAACUGCGAUCCUUAUAAUGAUUCAUUUUAUUCUUUUCAUUGAACUUCAAAAAUCAGUCUACUCUUGGAUGAUAACUUUAAUUAACAACUACACAUCUGAAUAUUGAAACAAAGAUAAUUUUCCGAGCAUCUGUCUUUCAUUUUUCCAGUGCAGAGCUUGAUGUUUAGGGACAUGCUGGAGUGUCGGCUUUGCUUUUGUAGGAAGCAAAAAAGUGUUUGAAUUUUCCAACCUGAAUUUCUGUAUCUAACCUUUAGUUAUUUAUGUUGAUGAAAACCUCUUUAUUAUUAGCUAAGUAAGGAGUUAGGAAAGAACCCAAUGACAUUUUUAUAUCCAAGAAGCUCUAUCAUCCAAAAUAUAACUGCUACAAAAGUAUGUCUGAGAAAAAACUACCAUAUUGUUAUAAAAUAAAGACUGUAAAGUAAAGACAAGUAU